CCCACAAAAACUCAACAUGAUUCGGGGUUUUAUUGCGUUGAUUCUGAUACUGCACUGGAGCCAAGGCACUGAGGGUGGAGAUGAUGUUAUUCAAAAGCCUGUAAUUCUUUGGGAACCAAAGAACGGUUCUGCUUCUUUGAGCUGCAAACACAAUAAGGAUAUUUCAUACCGGCAGAUGUACUGGUACCGACAGCGUCCAGGAGAGACUAUGAGACUCAUUGUAUUUACUGUGGCUGGUAAUGAUCCAGAGUUUGGAGAUGUUGACAAGAACAAAUUUGAACCUCAAAAAAGUGAUGCUGAAAGUGGAUCUUUGAAAGUGAAAGAUCUAGAUCCAGGUGACAGUGGUAUAUAUUUCUGUGCAGUGAGUAACACAGUGUGUCAAAGACUAGAGAGUGCUGUACAAAAACAUUCUGUGCAUAAAAAGACAAUAACAGCAUUAGUCAGCAGGUGGCAGUCUGGGACAAUGUUUAAACAAUUGAGCUGAACCAAAACAAUUUAAUGUAAAUCAUUAAAAUAUUCUUCUGAACCAAGUUCAGUUUCACCUCCAGAUGGAGGU